rnacentral:rRNA from 1 species
UAGGGAAUCUUCCACAAUGGGCGCAAGCCUGAUGGAGCAACGCCGCGUGAAUGAAGAAGGUCUUCGGAUCGUAAAAUUCUGUUGUUAGAGAAGAAUAUGAGUAAUAGUAACUGAUUAUUCACUGACGGUAUCUAACCAGCAAGUCACGGCUAACUACGUGCCAGCAGCCGCGGUAAUACGUAGGUGGCAAGCGUUGUCCGGAUUUAUUGGGCGUAAAGGGAACGCAGGCGGUUUUUUAAGUCUGAUGUGAAAGCCUUCGGCUUAACCGGAGAUGUGCAUUGGAAACUGGAAGACUUGAGUGCAGAAGAGGAGAGUGGAACUCCAUGUGUAGCGGUGAAAUGCGUAGAUAUAUGGAAGAACACCAGUGGCGAAAGCGGCUCUCUGGUCUGUAACUGACGCU